rnacentral:lncRNA from 1 species
CAUACUUAGGCCGUGUUCACAUUGACCUAAACUCGGUGUUGUGUAAGUGUAACUUACACGUAAACUAAACAAAAUUACGUUCCCAUUGAUAAAACUCAAUGUUUACAUGUAGUGUAAAUCAUGUUUUGUCUACAUGCAGUCGAUACUCGAUGUAGGCCUUGUGUAGAUUAAGUGUACACAAAACUAGGCAUUUAAAACAUUAGUUUCACCGUGCAUAUUUAAGG